UCACUUGAGGUCAGGAGUUUGAGACCAGCCUGGUCAACAUGGUGAAACCCUGUCUCUACGAAAAACACAAAAAAAUUAGCCAGGCAUGGUGAUGCACGCCUGUAAUUCCAGCUACUUGGGAGGCUGAGGCAGGAGAAUCGCUGGAACCUGAAAGACAGAGAUUGCAGCGAGCCGACAUCACACCACUGCACUCCAACUGGGGCGACAGAGCGAGACUCCAUCUCAAAAAAAAAAGAAAAAAGAAUGGGACACACUACUCCUUAGGCAACAGUGUUGGGUUCAUGUUUAUAGAUGAUGGAAUGAAGCAGCGGGGGACAACUUCUGGCUGGAGUGGCUUGGAGGCUGGAGCAGCUGAGCUUUAACAAGCAUCAGAGGUCAGAAUUACUUGGCUAGAUCAAGAAGCCGCACGGCAUCAUAAUGCCGCUGGCACAUCUCCCAGAACAGGGAUUCUGGGGCCAACAGUGAAUAAACCUGGUAAAAGGAC
rnacentral:lncRNA from 1 species